rnacentral:rRNA from 1 species
UGGGGAAUAUUGGACAAUGGGCGAAAGCCUGAUCCAGCCAUGCCGCGUGUGUGAAGAAGGCCUUAUGGUUGUAAAGCACUUUAAGUGGGGAGGAAAAGCUUAUGGAUAACACCCAUAGGUUCUGACGUUACCCACAGAAUAAGCACCGGCUAACUCUGUACCAGCAGCCGCGGUAAUACAGAGGGUGCAAGCGUUAAUCGGAAUUACUGGGCGUAAAGCGAGCGUAGGUGGUUUAUUAAGUCAGAUGUGAAAUCCCUGGGCUUAACCUAGGAACUGCAUCUGAUACUGAUAAACUAGAGUAGGUGAGAGGAAAGUAGAAUUCCAGGUGUAGCGGUGAAAUGCGUAGAGAUCUGGAGGAAUACCGAUGGCGAAGGCAGCUUUCUGGCAUCAUACUGACACUGAGGUUCGAAAGCGUGGGUAGCAAACAGGAUUAGAUACCCUGGUAGUCCACGCCGUAAACGAUGUCUACCAGUCGUUGGGUCUUUUAAAGGCUUAGUGACGCAGUUAACGCGAUAAGUAGACCGCCUGGGGAGUACGGCCGCAAGGUUA